CGAUUGUAGUCAUAUGCUUGUCUCAAAGAUUAAGCCAUGCAUGUCUAAGUAUAAGCAAUUAUACAGCGAAACUGCGAAUGGCUCAUUAAAUCAGUUAUCGUUUAUUUGAUAGUACCUUACUACAUGGAUAACCGUGGUAAUUCUAGAGCUAAUACAUGCUAAAAACCCCGACUUCGGAAGGGGUGUAUUUAUUAGAUUAAAAACCAAUGCCCUUCGGGGCUCCCUGGUGAUUCAUAAUAACUUCUCGAAUCGCACGGCCUUGCGCCGGCGAUGGUUCAUUCAAAUUUCUGCCCUAUCAACUUUCGACGGCGGGGUCUUGGCCUGCCAUGGUGACAACGGGUAACGGAGGGUUAGGGCUCGACCCCGGAGAAGGAGCCUGAGAAACGGCUACUACAUCCAAGGAAGGCAGCAGGCGCGCAAAUUACCCAAUCCCGACUCGGGGAGGUAGUGACAAUAAAUACUGAUACAGGGCUCUUUUGGGUCUUGUAAUUGGAAUGAGUACAAUUUAAAUCCCUUAACGAGGAACAAUUGGAGGGCAAGUCUGGUA
rnacentral:rRNA from 1 species